rnacentral:lncRNA from 1 species
GGUUCUCAUCGUCAUUUAUAGUUCAAGUGUCAGGCAGUCUGAUAUCCUCUGUGCAUGGACAGACAGACAUGAAGGCAAGACACACAUACAUAUAAAGGAAUUUCAAUUUUUUGACAGUUAUAAAGAGGAAUUUUUACCUGGACUCAUAAGAUGGCUCAUUGCAUAAUAGCAUGGGCCAUCAAAUCUGAUUACCUGAGUUUAAUCUUCAGAUCUCACAUGGUAAAAGGAGAGAACUGACUCCUGAAAGUUGUCCUGACUCCUGCUGUACCAGCUAUUCAUGUGCAAGCCUGCGGGUAUAUGCACAUGCAUGCACACACAAUAUGUAACAGAAAUCUUAAUGAAAAUUUGUAACUCAUUAAGUCUACAUUUUUUGCCCUCUUUUUUUCAUAGUGGUUUAUUUUUAACAUGUGUGUCUAGGGGAGUAGUGUGCAACAGUAUAGAUGCCCUCAGAGGACAGGGCUAUCUGACAUGAGUUCUAACAACUAGACUGCUCUUCUGUAAAAGCAUCCUCUGAACCAUGUUUCCAGCUCCUCUCUUACUCUUACCUCAUUUGGGACCUGCACAUGUUUAGAGGGCAUAUAGAUCUGAAGCUCCCAUGUGUGCAGAGUUUGUGUGCCAGGGCAGUCAAGGAAAAUAGGUUUGUAUAGUUCACAAAGAUAGGUCUUACCAUGUAGCCUGGGCUGACCUGAAUUUCGGAAGUCUCCUGCCUUCCCUUCCCAUGUGCUAGAAUGGUGUUAAAAGAUUAUGUCAUCAUGCACAGCUAACAAAUGAAAAAUGAAUUUUUAUUCAUAUAAAACUAUUAUUAGAGCCAUCCAUAGUGAUGUACACCUUGCACCUUUAGUCCCAGCACUGAGGAGGCAGAAGCAGGCAAAUCUCUUGAGUUCAAGGCUGGCCUGGUCUGCAUAUCAAGUUUCUGGGCAGCCAGAAUUUCAUAGUGAGACCCUCUCUCAAAAAACAACC